AAUUCGGGCCGCGUCGACCAAGGCUUGACAUACACCGGAAACACUCAGAGAUGGGUGCCCCGCAAGGUCGGUGUACAGGUGGUGCAUGGUUGUCGUCAGCUCGUGUCGUGAGAUGUUGGGUUAAGUCCCGCAACGAGCGCAACCCUCGUUCCAUGUUGCCAGCACGUAAUGGUGGGGACUCAUGGGAGACUGCCGGGGUCAACUCGGAGGAAGGUGGGGACGACGUCAAAUCAUCAUGCCCCUUAUGUCUUGGGCUUCACGCAUGCUACAAUGGCCGGUACAAAGGGCUGCGAUACCGCGAGGUGGAGCGAAUCCCAAAAAACCGGUCUCAGUUCGGAUUGGGGUCUGCAACUCGACCCCAUGAAGUCGGAGUCGCUAGUAAUCGCAGAUCAGCAACGCUGCGGUGAAUACGUUCCCGGGCCUUGUACACACCGUCGUCGACGCGGCCG
rnacentral:rRNA from 1 species